GAUGAACGCUGGCGGCGUGCCUAAUACAUGCAAGUCGAGCGAACGGACGAGAAGCUUGCUUUUCUGAUGUUAGCGGCGGACGGGUGAGUAACACGUGGAUAACCUACCUAUAAGACUGAGAUAACUUCGGGAAACCGGAGCUAAUACCGGAUAAUAUUUUGAACCGCAUGGUUCAAAAGUGAAAGACGGUCUUGCUGUCACUUAUAGAUGGAUCCGCGCUGCAUUAGCUAGUUGGUAAGGUAACGGCUUACCAAGGCAACGAUGCAUAGCCGACCUGAGAGGGUGAUCGGCCACACUGGAACUGAGACACGGUCCAGACUCCUACGGGAGGCAGCAGUAGGGAAUCUUCCGCAAUGGGCGAAAGCCUGACGGAGCAGCGCCGCGUGAGUGAUGAAGGUCUUCGGAUCGUAAAACUCUGUUAUUAGGGAAGAACAUAUGUGUAAGUAACUGUGCACAUCUUGACGGUACCUAAUCAGAAAGCCACGGCUAACUACGUG
rnacentral:rRNA from 1 species